rnacentral:rRNA from 1 species
AGUGAACGCUGGCGGCGUGCUUAACACAUGCAAGUCGAACGAGAACGGGUUAUAGCUUGCUAUAAUUGUCAGCUAAGUGGCGCACGGGUGAGUAAUGUAUAGGUAAUAUGCCUCUUACUAAGGGAUAACAAAUGGAAACGUUUGCUAAUACCUUAUACUCCUUAUUAACAUAAGUUAAUAAGGGAAAGAUUUAUUGGUAAGAGAUUAGCCUGUAUUGUAUCAGUUAGUUGGUGGGGUAAUGGCUUACCAAGACUAUGACACAUAACUGGUUUGAGAGGAUGAUCAGUCACACUGGAACUGAGACACGGUCCAGACUCCUACGGGAGGCGGCAGUGGGGAAUAUUGCACAAUGGACGAAAGUCUGAUGCAGCAACGCCGCGUGGAGGAUGACACAUUUCGGUGCGUAAACUCCUUUUAUAUGAGAAGAUAAUGACGGUAUUAUAUGAAUAAGCACCGGCUAACUCCGUGCCAGCAGCCGCGGUAACAC